rnacentral:misc_RNA from 1 species
AAGUCGUAACAAGGUUUCCGUAGGUGAACCUGCGGAAGGAUCAUUAACAAUGAAAUUGCUCGUGCCUAGGCAAAAUUGAGCCAGUGGUGAUAUUUUGCCUGGGGACUGCGAACUGCGAUACCGUGUCUCUUACUAAAUGUAUGAGGCCAUCAAACAAGAACCUGGGGUACUCUGAAGUGGAGGCAACUCUGCUUUGGAGCCCUGCAAUAAUCCCUUUUUCUUACCAUUCUACCCUUAAAACUAUAAGACUGAUAUGACAUGAUUUAAUGUCAAUAUUAAAUCACAAAACAACUCUUAACAAUGGAUAUCUAGGUUCUG